GCCCGCUUGUUCGCUCACUCUCAGUGAAAAGAGUUUUGAAAUGAGUUCUGAAUAGACAGCAUUUUCUUUGUGCGGUUGGUAAAUAACACAGAGCAAAGUUAGCAAGUUGCAGCGCCUCUGCGUUCUGAUUCUAUGGAACCUUUUUGUAGGGAGAAGGGCAGGAUGUUUUUAACUGAAUGUGACCUCAGGGGAAUACUAGAGGUAAGGAGAGAAAAAUAAUUGAGGUAACUGUGGGUGUUUUACAUCUCGGAAACCAUGGCUUUUAAUAAGGCCACAUGAAGAGAGAAGCUGGCAUCAUCCCACGCAAAAACCAGUGCCUGGCAGAGUUGUGGAAGGUGCUAUCACAUUGGCUUGGCAUUUGUGUAGCUUUGAUUGAAAAUCAAUGGUUUUCUUAUGAUAAUUUUCACAUCAUAUUUUUUUUCUUCUUUAGAAAAUAAUAAAAUUUCUGAAUGGGGCAGCGUGGAGAAAUCCUAAGAGAAAUAGCAUAAGAGCAUUUUGGAACACAUCCAGGAAAAGAUAACUUUCGACACACCUGUAGACGUUCGCCAGGUAAAGGAAAUCCAGGCCCUUGAGCAAUGUAUUGAUGAAUUGGGGUGGAAAUGGAGGAGGAUGGAAACGAUGGCGGCACUGGACUGUUUUCCAGAAACCAUUUACACAGGCUCACCAGAAGAGGGCAGCGCAGAGCAAUGAACUCUCCGAGGAGUUUCCAAACAGAUGUCUUGAAACUUAAAGUGAAAAUCUCUGCAUGAAAGUAGCCGUUUUUGGACAGCGUCCUCCACCAAAACCAUAUAUCUCUAAAAUAAUAAUAAAACUCCCCAAACAUGCUAAUCUCGAAA
rnacentral:lncRNA from 1 species